GGCGCGGUAGACGAAUUGGAAGAGUCGCCCGGCUUUCACCCGGGACAUGUUGCGGGUUCAAGUCCCGUCCGCGCUGCCA
rnacentral:tRNA from 1 species